GUGGGGAAUUUUGGACAAUGGGCGCAAGCCUGAUCCAGCAAUGCCGCGUGCAGGAAGAAGGCCUUCGGGUUGUAAACUGCUUUUGUACGGAACGAAACGGCUCUGGUUAAUACCCGGGGCUAAUGACGGUACCGUAAGAAUAAGCACCGGCUAACUACGUGCCAGCAGCCGCGGUAAUAAGUAGGGUGCAAGCGUUAAUCGGAAUUACUGGGCGUAAAGCGUGCGCAGGCGGUUUUGUAAGACAGGCGUGAAAUCCCCGGGCUCAACCUGGGAAUUGCGCUUGUGACUGCAAGGCUGGAGUGCGGCAGAGGGGGAUGGAAUUCCGCGUGUAGCAGUGAAAUGCGUAGAUAUGCGGAGGAACACCGAUGGCGAAGGCAAUCCCCUGGGCCUGCACUGACGCUCAUGCACGAAAGCGUGGGGAGCAAACAGGAUUAGAAACCCGAGUAGUCC
rnacentral:rRNA from 1 species